GCUAACGUCCGUCGUGAAGAGGGAAACAACCCAGACCGCCAGCUAAGGUCCCAAAGUCAUGGUUAAGUGGGAAACGAAGUGGGAAGGCUCAGACAGCCAGGAUGUUGGCUUAGAAGCAGCCAUCAUUUAAAGAAAGCGUAAUAGCUCACUGGUCGAGUCGGCCCGCGCGGAAGAUGUAACGGGGCUAAACCAUGCACCGAAGCUGCGGCAGCGACACAAAGUGUUGUUGGGUAGGGGAGCGUUCUGUAAGCCUGCGAAGGUGUACUGUGAGGUAUGCUGGAGGUAUCAGAAGUGCGAAUGCUGACAUAAGUAACGAUAAUGCGGGUGAAAAACCCGCACGCCGGAAGACCAAGGGUUCCUGUCCAACGUUAAUCGGGGCAGGGUGAGUCGACCCCUAAGGCGAGGCUGAAAAGCGUAGUCGAUGGGAAACGGGUUAAUAUUCCCGUACUGGUGGUAACUGCGAUGGGGGAACGGAGAAGGCUAGGUUGUCCGGGCGACGGUCGUCCCGGUUCAAGCAGGUAGGCAGAGUGAUUAGGCAAAUCCGGUCACUUAAUGCUGAGAUGUGAUGACGAACCACCAAGGUGGUGAAGCAAUUGAUGCCCCGCUUCCAGGAAAAGCCUCUAAGCUUCAGGUUACCAACAAUCGUACCCCAAACCGACACAGGUGGUCAGGUAGAGAAUACUCAGGCGCUUGAGAGAACUCGGGUGAAGGAACUAGGCAAAAUGGUGCCGUAACUUCGGGAGAAGGCACGCUGGCGGUAGGUAAAGUCCCUCGCGGACGGCGCUGAAGCCAGUCGAAGAUACCAGCUGGCUGCAACUGUUUAUUAAAAACACAGCACUGUGCAAACACGAAAGUGGACGUAUACGG
rnacentral:rRNA from 1 species